CCCUUAGAUGUUCUGGGCCGCACGCGUGCUACACUGAGUGGAUCAGCGGGUCAGGUUGCGCGAAAGCGUUUCCUAAUCUUUAAAUCCGCUCGUGAUGGGGAUUGACGGUUGCAAUUUUCUGUCAUGAACGAGGAAUACCUUGUAAGCGCGGGUCAUCAUCCCGCGCUGAAUACGUCCCUGCCCUUUGUACACACCGCCCGUCGCUCCUACCGAUUGAGCGGUCCGGUGAGGCUUUGGGAUCUGAGCGGAAAGAGCGUUUCGCUGUUUCUGCCCGGAAAACUCAGUCGAACCUUAUCAUUUAGAGGAAGGAGAAGUCGUAACA
rnacentral:rRNA from 1 species